AAUUCGAGGAUACACGAAGAACCUUACCAGGUCUUGACAUACCAGUUGACCGGUCUAGAGAUAGACUUUUCGCUUUCGGGCGACAAUGGAUCAGGUGGUGCAUGGUUGUCGUCAGCUCGUGCCGUGAGAUGUUGGUUAAGUCCCGCAACGAGCGCAACCUUACCCUUAGUGUUUCCCGAAAGGAUUACCCUCUAAGGGGACUGCCCCGGACAACGGGAGGAAGGUGGGGAUGACGUCAAGUCCGCAUGCUCCCUACGUCUAGGGCUACACACGUCCUACAAUGGGGUCGACAGUGGGAUGCAAAGCCGCGAGGUGGAGCCAAUCCCCAAACGGCCUCUCAGUUCGGAUAGUAGUCUGCAACUCGACUACUUGAAGUCGGAAUCGCUAGUAAUGGCGGAUCAGCAUGCCGCCGUGAAUACGUUCCCGGGUCUU
rnacentral:rRNA from 1 species